AAGCCACUUUUUUUUUCCUUUUCAAUCAAGAGAAAGCCACUCAAUAACCAAAAAAUGUUAUUCCAAACAGAUAAAAUGCGUCAAUCUACAGUUAACCGUGUGUUGCAGCAGAGCAGAAAAGGGCAUUGAGUGAAGGAGGAGAUGAGAUUACAUACACCAACUGUGAUUUCUUGCAACGAGGGAAUAAGCUUCUGCCGUGCAAAAAAUAGCUAACAAGCUUCAAUCCAAUACAUAUUGGUACUAUGUGUACGCACCUCGUCAUCUGAAGGUUUUUGGAGAUGAACAACCUUACAAAUAGACUUAAUUGGCUGGAGCUUUGUGAUAUCACUGCAGCAAAAGAAGACCAUAUAACAACCUGUAUAUCUCUCUAACAUCCAUUUGGUAUAUAGCAAAGCAUCUGUUGAUAGCUUGUCAGCUUCACCAAGAAUGAUAGCUGUGUACAUUACAAAUGAAGUAAGUGAUCAUUUCUAAGGCUUUCCUUGUCCAUUUUUGGGUACUACAAAUUGCAAAAGCUUGUAAUACCUUUACAGUCUUCAGGAUGGCAAGGUGCUGAUCUGAUGGAUGCUUUGUGCUUUCUCUCAUUGAUUAGUUCUACGAUGACAUGUUUCUCAUAGCCUUUAGUUUCAGAGAGAUUGAUCUCAACAUGUUUCUUUGAUUCCUUCACAUUUACUUGGAUGCUCGGCACUGCUUCUCCCUGAAAUGCAUUGCAUUUUGAGAAGGUCCUUUCACUGUUCUACUUGAUUUAAUUUGAUUUAAACUUCUAUGUUUUGACAUGUAAAAAAUAAGAUUUUAACUUCCGUGCAUUGAUAAUAAUGUCUAAUUUUCUAUAACCAGUCUAAAUUUUACACUGUUAUAAGUUAAAACCAUUUAAAUAUAUAAGCUGGAGAUGUGCUUUUUAUAAAUACAUGAAGUGAUAUUUGUGGCUUUUACAGUCAUAUUCUAGACCGAAAGAUAGUCUGUCAUUGGAUGGUGUAGUUGAAUGCUUAAAAUUAUUUCUACAAUAUUAGUUUUCAUAGACAUACUUUCAGGGGAUACAAAUGAAUACUUGCCGUCUGAUGCCUUGUGCACAUUUGUCCCGUGUUGUGAUCAUGAACGAGUAGAAUGUUACAUGAAAUGAAUAGACUUUUAUGUCUUUAGAAGACUUGGAAAUUACUCCAUUUAUUUCAAUUUGCUGAUACUUUUCGUUUGUGAGGCUCGGUCUGUGAUCCUUGGAAAACAGAGAUCCUUUUAGUAAUAAAAGACGUCACUUAUAUUAUGGCAGUAUACUGGUAAAACUUUUUCAAUAUGUUCAAAUGCCACCAAUAAUAGACAUCUAAUGGGCUCUAUAUAUGAAACACAUUUUCAGAUCUUUGUAUGCAUAAUCUAUGAACACAAUACAAAGGUCUUCAUACCUUUAAGUAGAACACCUUGCACUUUUUUCUUGCCUGUAAAAGCAAAGAAACCAUCAUCAGUCAAUGAUUUGAUAAGUGCUGAUAUCGGCGAUUCUCUGAUAGAACAUGAUAUCGGCGAUUCUUGGAUUUAACAUACAUACACUGACAUUGUUAAAAAAUGUUUUUACUAUCAGCGUACUUUAACAUGUUACAGCAGGUAACCAACCUAUUUUUUUUUUUUUUGGUUACUACUCUUACUUUCCAUGCAUAGUUAUUUGUAGUUACUUUUAAGGUGACUUAUUACUUGAAAAGUUUGUUUGCACUUGUAGUAUAUAGAAGUUAAACUCGUGAUAUUUACAACUCACGUCUAGCUUUUUAUUACUAAAGUGGCAAAUUAACAUAUUUUCUGGAUUAAACCUUUUGAUACUUUUGUAGCUUUAAAGAGAAUCAAUUAAAUGUACACUAUAUAUACCUGUAAUUUAUCAUGUCCAAAAACUUCGCGAAGCAGAGCAAAUAUCAUGGUUCUUUUCCCUACUCCUGGCUGUCCUGCAAAUAUAUAAUGACGAUUACUGCUAUCUGUUUCUGCCUGCAAAUUUUAGAAUCCAAAAAGCGUGUCGUGUCUUAGUAUUUUGCUAUGAAUAAGGAAAAUUUGGAAAAAGAUUGUUCAAGAUUAAUUUCAUAUAUACCAGAGCCUUCAGUUCAAGUGCAGUAUUUCUAUUGCAUAGAAAAUCUUUAAGAGCAUUAGGCCUAUACUUAUCAGCCCAUUUAAAUCUUUUGUCUUUCUGUUCUGGACUUGUAAUAUCCUGCUCCUUUGUAGUAUCUUUUUCAUCCUCUGUAGUUUGAGUUGGUGAAGCUGGUAAUGGUACUGCUUCAAUUUCUUCAUCUUGCAAUGACGUUUGCAAUAUUAAUGGAGUUGGCGGUGGAGAUGGUAUUGACAAUUUUGGUGGUGAUGUUAUUGGUGGUGCAGGGGGUGGUGGUAGUACUACUAUAUUUGUUUGCAUUUCUGAUGCUCUCUCCCUCAAAGGCUUCCCCUGAUCUGAUUUUGAAAGUCUGUGUCUGCUUUUUCUUGAACUUCUUCUAACUCCUUUGCGAUCUAUACCAAGUUCUUCUCCGAUUGUCGUUCUGAUUACUCCUUUAUCUUUUGUCUCUGAUGAAGAAGAAUCUUGGAUGUUCUUGUUCCCAGUAGAAGUAGUCAAGGAGGAGGAUGUUCUUUCUUCUUUGCCUUUGCGUACAAAGUAAGAUGCACUCCAUUCUUGUACCUGGUGAGACAUAAUAUAAUUAAGUAAUUAAAAAAAUAUAUGCUCUCUUAAACGGUUUAAGCUUUUAGACGAAAUGGUCACGCGCUUCAACAUUACCUUGCUGGCUAAAUUGGAUUUAGAAUUUGAACUUGUAGAAGAAGCCGAUAUGCUAUCUUUUCCAGGACUACUAAACUCUGCUAAUAACUUCUGUCGAUUAAUCACUUUGGAUGAAUCAGUAAGUCCUUUAUAAUAUGGACUUCUUGCAGAGUAUCUCUUUUCUUCUUGAAUUGUAUUUCUUUUAUUGAAUUCCGCGAGAUUAUCAGCUGUUAAAUUUGAGUUAUUUGAAGAUGAGCCAACCUUUCUUGAUAUAAGCUCAUUUGCUUUUUUAGGCCAUGUUGGUUUUAAUGAGUCAGCUGAUUUGGAGGAUCUUACUGAAGGAGGUAUUGUAAGUGAGUUUGUAGGAGAAUUUUGAGUUUCUGAUAUGUUGUAGGGAACAGAUUUUGAACGUGGGAUUGAUGGACUCGGCAUUGAAGAGCUGAGAUUGAAAGUUGCUGUGUAGAAAAGAGGAUUAAUAAGGAGGUAAUAAAAAAGAACUCUGUAAGUUAACUCAAUUAUAUGAUAUUAAUGUGAAUGGAAAAAAGAUACUUUCAACAGUA